UCUUAUGGAUGAAUAAAGAAAGUGGUUUCUUGAGAUAGAAUUUAUUCCUGGUGAAGAUGCUGUGAA
rnacentral:pre_miRNA from 1 species